rnacentral:rRNA from 1 species
UACGGAGGUUCCAAGCGUUGUUCGGAAUUACUGGGCGUAAAGGGAGCGCAGGCGGACAAGUCAGUCUAAAGUGAAAUUCCGGGGCUCAACCUCGGACUUGCUUCGGAUACUACUUGUCUUGAGUUCGUGAUAGGAAGACGGAAUUCAGGGUGUAGCGGUGAAAUGCACAGAUAUCCUGAGGAACACCGGUGGCGAAAGCGGUCUUCUGGCGCGAAACUGACGCUGAGGCUCGAAAGCGUGGGUAGCAAACGGGAUUAGAUACCCGGGUAGUCCCUGAGCGGG